rnacentral:sRNA from 1 species
AGGUAGCGACAAUGAUCCUUCCGUAGCAAAAAUGUUGAUAUGACUCUGAAGGA